GUACGUACAAGCAGUGGGAGCACAGGUUUACCUGUGUGACUGCGUACCUUUUGUAUAAUGGGUCAGCGACUUAUAUUCUGUAGCAAGGUUAACCGAAUAGGGGAGCCGGAGGGAAACCGAGUCUUAACCGGGCGUUAAGUUGCAGGGUAUAGACCCGAAACCCGGUGAUCUAGCCAUGGGCAGGUUGAAGGUUGGGUAACACUAACUGGAGGACCGAACCGACUAAUGUUGAAAAA
rnacentral:rRNA from 7 species